UUGAAAGGGAAACGAUUGAAGUGAUCGAUUGUCGUCAGUCAUGCCGGUGGGAAUCAACUUAGGGGAAAUUCUGGGUGCACUUCUUCGCUUGGAGGUUAACGUCGAUUUUGAAUGUCCUGAAAUAAUUGGGGGAACGUAGCUCCUUCGGGAGUGUUAUAGCCCUUGAUAGAUGUGAUGUUUGGGGUCAAGGAUUGCAACGGAUACUCUUCGGGGCUAGCCGCCUGAUCUCUAAUUGGUGUUGGGUUACGGAUAGCAUGCUGACCGUGAUCUAAUUACUGGUUAAAAGGUUAGAGUGUGCAUAAAUUCGUUAAGGAUGUUGACGUA
rnacentral:rRNA from 1 species